rnacentral:ncRNA from 1 species
UCAUGGCUAUCUGGUGGUGGGCUCGCAGCUAAGCGGCCUUGACCAGUCAUGUUCAAAGACAAGACAAAGCCGCCCGACCACCGAGGCGGCUUUCUU